UGAAUAAUGAAGCGUGCUGAGCCUGAGCGCCAUGUCAGACAGAAAGAGUCAGCAGAUAAAGUUUCCAUAAUCGAGUCCAUAAUAUAAAUUGUGUUCUGGCUCCAGGACUGGAGGGUUUUCACGCCCAUUAGUCCAGUUCAAUGGCUUUAAGUAUGAGCGGUAGAACUCGUGACGGUCAUGAGCAUUCCUUUCCUCCCCUCACAGUUCUAACCUUUUCUCAAGUCAGAGAUUUAAGCAAAGAAAAGUGAGACUGAGAGCUUUCGGGAAAGCGCUGAGAAGCAAUUUAGAAGGACCGGACCCUUCACAAUCUAAUUAUCUACUUUAGGUGUAAAAGUCUGGAUGGAAAGAGAUGCCUCGCGGUGACUUCAACGUUUAUUUUGCAAGCAGAGGAGGACAGCAUGUCAGGGCCGAAGAGGCAGCUGGCAUAGCUCUGUUGGUUGUAAUUCUUGCAGCCCUUCUCAUCGUCGGAUGCUGGUAUUUCAAGAGGAGAAGGGGGUACAAAAUGAUCAGGAGCCCAAGAUCAGGGUCCCCGCCAGGAUUCAGUGGAGGACAGUUCAGCCAGCGAAGAGCUGCAGCAGAAAACAAGAUGGGCCUCAGUGAGCUCCGACCUGUGGUAAGAGACUCGGACUGGAUGUACUGGGCUUGUCAAUGGUCAGAACUUACUUCUUUAAAAAAAAUUGUAUUUGAUGUUUUAUUGAAUGGAGUUGUCCUCUAUUGCUGCGUUUACACAGGCAGGCCAAUUCAGAUAUUUUUUCCACUAAUUGGGAAAAAGAUCAGAAUUGGGCUUCCUGUGUAA
ensembl:lncRNA